AUUCAAGGAGGACUUAAUACAAAUCUUUGUCUCUAAUAUGAGUGUAGAACUUUCUCAGAAAAAUAUACAUAGACUUAUUCAGGCAUUCUUGCCACCUAAAAUAGAGAUUCUCUUGGACAUGUGUCAGCAAGGACACGACGAUGCACUGCAGUUUCUGCAUUGUAGAAAUU